rnacentral:rRNA from 1 species
CCAGACUCCUACGGGAGGCAGCAGUGGGGAAUAUUGCACAAUGGACGGAAGUCUGAUGCAGCAACGCCGCGUGCGGGAUGACGGCCUUCGGGUUGUAAACCGCUUUCAAUUGUGACGAAGCUUUUUGUGACGGUAGCAGUAGAAGAAGCACCGGCUAACUACGUGCCAGCAGCCGCGGUGAUACGUAGGGUGCGAGCGUUGUCCGGAUUUAUUGGGCGUAAAGAGCUUGUAGGUGGUUUGUCGCGUCGGGAGUGAAAACUCAGGGCUUAACUCUGAGCUUGCUUUCGAUACGGGCUGACUUGAGGGAGGUAGGGGAGAAUGGAAUUCCUGGUGGAGCGGUGGAAUGCGCAGAUAUCAGGAGGAACACCGGUGGCGAAGGCGGUUCUCUGGACCUUUCCUGACGCUGAGAAGCGAAAGCGUGGGGAGCGAACAGGCUUAGAUACCCUGGUAGUCCACGCUGUAAACGGUGGGUACUAGGUGUGGGGGACAUUCCACGUUCUCCGUGCCGUAGCUAACGCAUUAAGUACCCCGCCUGGGGAGUACGGCCGCAAGGCUAAAACUCAAAGGAAUUGACGGGGGCCCGCACAAG